rnacentral:rRNA from 1 species
CAGUCGCCGCGGUAAAACGUAGGGUGCAAGCGUUAUCCGGAAUUACUGGGCGUAAAGCGUGCGCAGGCGGUUGUGUAAGACAGGUGUGAAAUCCCCGGGCUUAACCUGGGAACUGCGCUUGUGACUGCACAGCUAGAGUAUGGCAGAGGGGGGUGGAAUUCCACGUGUAGCAGUGAAAUGCGUAGAGAUGUGGAGGAACACCGAUGACGAAGGCAGCCCCCUGGGCCAAUACUGACGCUCAUGCACGAAAGCGUGGGGAGCAAACAGGAUUAGAUACCCCCGUAGUCCCUGUCUCUUAUAC